ACACCUCUGGCAGGGGAGAUACUGUGAUCAAGAAGGCGGUUCACCCAGGGCGAGGCUCAGCCAUUCCACUUUGGCUGUGCUGACCCCUGCAAAUUCCCCAAAUGUGGGAAUCUCGACUGCAUAAUUUCAGGUAGUGGGGGACUGCUUUCGUGCUCUCCCCUG
ensembl:snRNA U1 U1 spliceosomal RNA